UACGAACUGUGCGAACGUUAUUCGGAAUCACUGGGCUUACAGGGUGCGUAGGCGGCUUGUCAAGUAGGGUGUGAAAGCCCCCGGCUUAACCGGGGAAUUGCGCCCUAAACUGGCGAGCUGGAGUGAGAUAGGGGUGUGUGGAACUUCCGGUGGAGCGGUGAAAUGUGUUGAUAUCGGAAGGAACGCCGGUGGCGAAAGCGACACACUGGAUCUUGUCUGACGCUGAGGCACGAAAGCCAGGGGAGCGAACGGG
rnacentral:rRNA from 1 species